UACGUAGGGCGCAAGCGUUAUCCGGAAUUAUUGGGCGUAAAGCGCUCGUAGGCGGUUUGUCGCGUCUGCCGUGAAAGUCCGGGGCUCAACUCCGGAUCUGCGGUGGGUACGGGCAGACUAGAGUGCAGUAGGGGAGACUGGAAUUCCUGGUGUAGCGGUGAAAUGCGCAGAUAUCAGGAGGAACACCGAUGGCGAAGGCAGGUCUCUGGGCUGUAACUGACGCUGAGGAGCGAAAGCAUGGGGAGCGAACAGG
rnacentral:rRNA from 1 species